GGAAUAUUGGCCUGCAGAUCUGUUCAGGCCAGGACUCUUAUCACACAUGUGAAGUUUGGGGAAGAUCGGACAUUUUAUGCCUGAGUUAUAACAUCUUUUAUUCCCAUGGCGAGACAUCGAACUUCGUCGCGGCGCCAUGAACAAGCCUUUUAACGAAAAUUCAAGAUCUUCACAACUGAACAUGGCACAGGCCUUUAGAUUAGACUGACCACAAAAAAGACAUUGAUGUCAUAAAAUUUCUAGGAGUAGUUCGUCGCAGCGUAAAAUAUGUCACUUCCUGUUGCCAAUAGGUGGCGCUAUGACUAUAACUGAAUAUGGGCAUGUCAAUCUGUUCAGGUCAGGAGUCUCAUCAAACAUGUGAAGUUUGGGGCAGAUUGGUCAUUGUAUGUCUGAGUUAUAGCAACUUCCUGUUUCAUGGCGAAUCAUCGAAAUUCGUCAGGCCACCACGGACACGCCCAUUAAUGAAAACUCAAAAGCUUCGCAAUUUAACAUCGCAAAGGCCUUCAGAUUAGGCAUACCAAAUUUGGUGUUGAUCUGAAUGAAUCUCUAGGAGGAGUUCGUUAAAAUACAACGCAUGGAAAUGACAAAAAUGACACAAAAUUUGCUCAUAAUAUUAGUAAUAACCGACUUCCUGUUGGGUUUCGGAUUUUGCUCCAAGAUACUUUUUUGUAGGUAUUGGAGAGUUACAUGUGUAUACCGAUUUUCAUACAUGUACAUGAAACGUAGCUCGAGGCGCACACCGUUGAACGUGUAUAGGUGGCGCUGUUGAGCCAUUUUGCCACACCCACUUCUGAAACCCAUAUCAGACGUAAAUUUUCGCCAGUUCUGAGGUGUGUGCAAAGUUUCAUGACUUUUCGAGCAGGUUUAGGCCCUCAAAAAUGCGAUUCAUUUUGGAGAAGAAGAAUAAUAAUAAUAAUAAUAAUAAUAAUAAUAAUAAUAAUAAUAAUAAUAAUAAACGGAGCAAUUCCAAGAGGGUCCUCACACCAUCGGUGCUCGGGCCCUAAUUAAAGCUGCAAGCAGCGAUGAACGGGCCCUCGCACCCGGGCUCACCGGCAGCGAGUGGCUUUAGUUAAUAGGUGAACGGUGAGAAAUAUGCGUUUAAACUCAUAAAUAUAAGUAGAAUAUAUCAAUGUUUAUUCCAUAUAUGUGCCAAUCUUCCUGUUGCCAGCAGGUGGCGCUAUCAUUAUAAUGGAAUAUUGGCCUUCAGAUGUGUUCAGGGCAGGACUUUUAUCGAACAUGUGAGGUUUGGGGAGGAUUGGACACUUUAUGCCUGAGUUACAACAACAUCCUAUUUCAUGGCGAAACAAUGAAAUUUGUCAGGCCGCCAUGGACACGCCCUUUAACGAAACCUCAAGAUCUUCGCAAUUUAAGAUCGCAAAAGGAUUUAGAUUACACGGACCAAGUUUGGUGUUGAUCUGAAUAAAUAUCUAGGAGGAGUUCGUUAAAGUACAACCCCUGAAAAUGGCCAAAACAACAGCAAUUUUGAAGGGAAAAUUCAAAAUAACUGACUUCCUGUUGGGAUUCGGACUUCGUACCAAGAGACUUUUUCGUAGAUAUUGGUGUGUUACAUGUGUGUACCGAUUCUUGUACAUGUACGUGAAACAUAGCUCAAGGCGCACUCCGUUUAAAGUGUAUACGCACUCCGUUGAAAGUGUAUAGGUGGCGCUAUUGAGCCAUUUUGCCACACUCGAUGGAAUAUUGGCCUUCAGAUCUGU